GGGAUACGGCUGGAAACGGCCGCUAAUACCCCAUAUGCCGAGAGGUGAAAUGAAUUUCGCCUGAGGAUGAGCUCGCGUCUGAUUAGCUAGUUGGUGUGGUAAUGGCUCACCAAGGCUUCGAUCAGUAGCUGGUCUGAGAGGACGAUCAGCCACACUGGGACUGAGACACGGCCCAGACUCCUACGGGAGGCAGCAGUGGGGAAUUUUCCGCAAUGGGCGAAAGCCUGACGGAGCAACGCCGCGUGAGGGAUGAAGGCCUCUGGGCUGUAAACCUCUUUUCUCAAGGAAGAAGAACUGACGGUACUUGAGGAAUAAGCCACGGCUAAUUCCGUGCCAGCAGCCGCGGUAAUACGGGAGUGGCAAGCGUUAUCCGGAAUUAUUGGGCGUAAAGCGUCCGCAGGCGGCCUUGAAAGUCUGUCGUUAAAGCGUGGGGCUCAACUCCAUUUCAGCGAUGGAAACUACAAGGCUCGAGUGUGGUAGGGGCAGAGGGAAUUCCCGGUGUAGCGGUGAAAUGCGUAGAUAUCGGGAAGAACACCAGUGGCGAAGGCGCUCUGCUGGGCCAUAACUGACGCUCAUGGACGAAAGCUAGGGGAGCG
rnacentral:rRNA from 1 species